AGCGAACGCUGGCGGCAGGCCUAACACAUGCAAGUCGAACGGGCUCUUCGGAGCUAGUGGCGGACGGGUGAGUAACACGUGGGAACGUGCCUUUAGGUUCGGAAUAAGCCCGGGAAACUGGGUCUAAUACCGAAAGUGCCCUUCGGGGGAAAGAUUUAUCGCCUUUAGAGCGGCCCGCGUCUGAUUAGCUUGUUGGUGAGGUAAUGGCCGACCAAGGCGACGAUCAGUAGCUGGUCUGAGAGGAUGACCAGCCACAUUGGGACUGAGACACGGCCCAAACUCCUACGGGAGGCAGCAGUGGGGAAUCUUGCGCAAUGGGCGAAAGCCUGGCGCAGCCAUGCCGCGUGGAUGAUGAAGGUCUUAGGAUUGUAAAAUCCUUUCACCGGUGAAGAUAAUGACUGUAGCCGGAGAAGAAGCCCCGGCUAACUUCGUGCCAGCCGCCGCCGUAACAC
rnacentral:rRNA from 1 species